AGGUCCCGCCUCUAGGAGAUAU
rnacentral:siRNA from 1 species